CAAAAUAAGCACAGUGGUGACAUUCGUUAAAAUUUAAACGUUUUUACUGUUUAAUGCAAUAGAUUUCCACAAUGGAAUUACACAAACAAAGGUUUUAUGAACAACUGUAUGAACGAAGAAAAGACGUUGCCGAUAACAACCGCGGCUUAACGAGAGAAAAAUAUAGUAGUCUCAUUGAAGAAGUAAAAAUUGCUAAGGCUGCUAAAAAAAAAGUCCAAGAAUGCACUGGCUCUUAAAGCAUUAUGAUGUGUUAUCUGUUCAGGGGGUAGAAAAACUGAUAGUGCCUCUUAACAAUGAUUUAGUUGAUGUAAUAUAUUACGUCCAUGACGACGAGUUGUUUAACAUUCUUCAAGAACUACACACAUCCACAGGUCAUGGUGGUAGAGAUCGCAUGAUGAAAAAAACAAAGGAAAAAUACAAGAAUAUAGUGCGUACUGAAAUUUUAUUGUUUAUUAACUUGUGCGCUCCAUGUCAAAUGAAAGAAAAAAGGGAAAAGAAGGGAAUUAUAUCAAAACCGAUGAUCUUCAAUGAUCUGAAUUCCAGAUGUCAAGUAGACUUAAUCGAUUAUCAGUCGCAUGCUGAUGGUAAAUACA